rnacentral:misc_RNA from 1 species
UUUCCGUAGGUGAACCUGCGGAAGGAUCAUUACAGUAGUCACCCAGGUUGCCGCAAGGCCUCCUGGGUAACCUACCACCCUUUGUUUAUUACACUUUGUUGCUUUGGCAAGCCUGCCCUCGGGCUGCUGGCUCCGGCCGGCGAGCGCUUGCCAGAGGACCUAAACUCUGUUUGUCUAUACUGUCUGAGUACUAUAUAAUAGUUAAAACUUUCAACAGCGGAUCUCUUGGUUCUG